GGAACGAAAGCGACGCCGUCACCAACCUUCGGGUUCAGGCCGAGCACCUCCAGGCUGUCCCGCGCGGUGACCAUCAUGGCGACGUCCUCGUCAUCCGCGGAGGGAGGAUCCGCGCGCGAGGACGGCGAGGCUCGCGGCGGGCCGUCGAGCGUGCCGAGCCCGAGCCCGGGCCCGGGCCCGGGCCCGGAGCCGAAUGUACCCGCCGCCCCGGGGUCGUACCCUUCGAUCUCCUCGUCGUCCACCUCCUCGACGCGAAUCGAUCCGGAAGGCGACCCGGAAGGCGACCCGGAUCCGUCCAAAGUCCCGACGGCGGAUGAACGCGCGACGCGGUCGCUCGAGGAGGCGCCGCCCUCGGGCAUCGCCUGCGAUCCGCUCCCGUGGAAGGCGUGGAUGAACCUGGCGCGGGCGGCAGCCUUAUCCGCGACAGCCUCCUCGGCAGCCGCUCGGAGGAUCCUUUCGCGCUCCGCGUUGGCUCGUCUCCGACGCUCGGCCAUCGCCUCUCUCGGCGUCAGGUUGGACAGAUCCGCGGGAGCGUUCCCCCGCUCCAUCGCCGACGCCGCCCCGUCGCGCCCCC
rnacentral:lncRNA from 1 species